UACGUAGGUGGCAAGCGUUGUCCGGAUUUACUGGGUGUAAAGGGCGUGUAGGCGGGUUAGAAAGUCAGAUGUGAAAUACCGAUGCUUAACAUCGGGGCUGCAUUUGAAACUUCUAAUCUUGAGUGCAGGAGAGGAAAGCGGAAUUCCUAGUGUAGCGGUGAAAUGCGUAGAUAUUAGGAGGAACACCAGUGGCGAAGGCGGCUUUCUGGACUGUAACUGACGCUGAGGCGCGAAAGCGUGGGUAGCAAAC
rnacentral:rRNA from 1 species